rnacentral:rRNA from 1 species
GAUGAACGCUGGCGGCGUGCCUAAUACAUGCAAGUCGAGCGAACAGACGAGGAGCUUGCUCCUCUGACGUUAGCGGCGGACGGGUGAGUAACACGUGGAUAACCUACCUAUAAGACUGGGAUAACUUCGGGAAACCGGAGCUAAUACCGGAUAAUAUAUUGAACCGCAUGGUUCAAUAGUGAAAGACGGUUUUGCUGUCACUUAUAGAUGGAUCCGCGCCGCAUUAGCUAGUUGGUAAGGUAACGGCUUACCAAGGCAACGAUGCGUAGCCGACCUGAGAGGGUGAUCGGACACACUGGAACUGAGACACGGUCCAGACUCCUACGGGAGGCAGCAGUAGGGAAUCUUCCGCAAUGGGAGAAAGCUUGACGGAGCAACGCCGCGUGAGUGAUGAAGGUCUUCGGAUCGUAAAACUCUGUUAUUAGGGAAGAACAAAUGUGUAAGUAACUAUGCACGUCUUGACGGUACCUAAUCAGAAAGCCACGGCUAACUACGUG